rnacentral:rRNA from 1 species
CCUACGGGAGGCUGCAGUGGGGAAUAUUGGGCAAUGGAGGAAACUCUGACCCAGCAACGCCGCGUGAAUGAUGAAGGUCCUCGGAUUGUUAAGUUCUUUUCUAAGGGAAGAAGAAAGUGACGGUACCUUAGGAAUAAGCCUCGGCUAACUACGUGCCAGCAGCCGCGGUAAUACGUAGGAGGCAAGCGUUAUCCGGAAUGACUGGGCGGAAAGGGUGCGUAGGGGGUUUGAUAAGGUGGUAGCGUAACUCCGAGGCUCAACCUCGGCACUACUACCAAAACUGUCGGACUUGAGUGCAGGAGAGGCAACUGGAAUUCCUAGUGUAGCGGUGGAAUGCGUAGAUAUUAGGAGGAACACCAGUGGCGAAGGCGAGUUGCUGGACUGUAACUGACACUGAGGCACGAAAGCGUGGGGAGCAAACAGGAUUAGAUACCCCUGUAGUC